GUGCACACUGUGAUGUUCGGGGUCUUGUCCGAGACCUCCAAAGGCUUACAUUAUUUUUGCCCAGAAAAACCAUCACACCAGAUUCUUUCUGACUGGAUCUCCAGAGAAUGUUCCUCCAGGUACUGUGGUGGAUAAGCAAGUCUGCCAUCGCAAGAAUUUUGACUUCUACAUGUGUGAACAUGCUGGCAUGAUUGAACCUCAGGGCCAACACAUUACCAUGUUCUUCAUGAUGAGAUCGGCUUCACUGCUGAUCCUCUUUAGGAAUUCGUGCAUUCCCUUACACGCUCCAAGUCCAUCUUCAAACCAAACUACUAAUGCUCAGAGAAGGGUUAUAGGCAAGGAGCAACCAUGCCAGGACUCAAUCACCAGAUGUAUUUCCACCAAGACAGUCUCAGGACAAAACUGGGAACAGUGGAGCUUUUGUUAAAUCAAACGGGAUAACCAAAUCAGUUCUCGUUCUACUAUUUGGCACGGUGGAUCGGCUGGGGGUGUUGGCGUCUGCCUUUGCCCUUGUCAGCGGAGAAGAUGGAGCAAGAUGAGGUGAUUGAGGAUGUGCCGAACAGAGCCACCAUGUUUUUGGUGACAUAAACA